rnacentral:snRNA from 1 species
CUGGCACCAGGCCAAACGAUCACAGAAGAUUGCAGCAAUACAGAGAAGAUUGGCAUGGCCCCUGUGCAAGGAUGACACGCAAAUUCGUGAAGCGUUCCAAAAUUUU